GAUGAACGCUGGCGGCGUGCUUAACACAUGCAAGUCGAACGGAAAGGCCCAAGCUUGCUUGGGUGCUCGAGUGGCGAACGGGUGAGUAACACGUGGGUGAUCUGCCCUGCACUUUGGGAUAAGCCUGGGAAACUGGGUCUAAUACCGGAUAGGACCAUCGUUUAGUGUCGGUGGUGGAAAGUUUUUCGGUGUGGGAUGAGCUCGCGGCCUAUCAGCUUGUUGGUGGGGUAAUGGCCUACCAAGGCGUCGACGGGUAGCCGGCCUGAGAGGGUGUACGGCCACAUUGGGACUGAGAUACGGCCCAGACUCCUACGGGAGGCAGCAGUGGGGAAUAUUGCACAAUGGGCGCAAGCCUGAUGCAGCGACGCCGCGUGGGGGAUGAAGGCCUUCGGGUUGUAAACUCCUUUCGCCAAGGACGAAGCGUUUUGUGACGGUACUUGGAGAAGAAGCACCGGCUAACUACGUG
rnacentral:rRNA from 1 species